GAUGAACGCUGGCGGCGUGCUUAACACAUGCAAGUCGAACGAUGAAAGCGGGAGCUUGCUCCUGCUGGAUUAGUGGCGAACGGGUGAGUAACACGUGAGUAACCUGCCCUUGACUCUGGGAUAAGCGUUGGAAACGACGUCUAAUACCGGAUACGACCUUCGGAGGCAUCUCCUGGGGGUGGAAAGAAUUUCGGUCAAGGAUGGACUCGCGGCCUAUCAGCUAGUUGGUGAGGUAAUGGCUCAACAAGGCGACGACGGGUAGCCGGCCUGAGAGGGUGAUCGGGCACAUUGGGACUGGGACACGGCGCAGGCUCCGACGGGGGGGAGCAGGUGGGAAUCUGGCGCGCUGGGGGGAACGCUGACGCAGCGACGCAGCGUGCGGGAUGACGGUCUUCGGAUUGUAAACCGGUUUUCUCGAGGACGGUGAUGACGGUACUCGAGGAAUAAGCCCCGGCUAACUCCGUGCCAGCCGCCGCGGUAAGAC
rnacentral:rRNA from 1 species